UAGGAGCUGAGAGGGGGAGGUGAGAGCUGAGAGAGAGAUGGGAGCUGAGAGAGAGAUGGGAGCUGAGAGAGAGAUAGGAGCUGAGAGGGGGAGGUGAGAGCUGAGAGAGAGAUGGGAGCUGAGAAAGAGAUGGGAGCUGAGAGAGAGAUGGGAGCUGAGAGAGAGAUAGGAUCUGAGAGAGAGAUGGGAGCUGAGAGAGAGAUGGGAGCUGAGAGAGAGAUGGGAGCUGAGAGAGAGAUAGGAGCUGAGAGGGGGAGGUGAGAGAGAGAUGGGAGCUGAGAGAGAGAUGGGAGCUGAGAGAGAGAUAGGAGCUGAGAGGGGGAGGUGAGAGCUGAGAGAGAGAUGGGAGCUGAGAGAGAGAUGGGAGCUGAGAGAGAGAUGGGAGGUGAGAGAGAGAUGAGAGCUGAGAGAGAGAUAGGAGCUGAGAGAGAGAUGGGAGCUGAGAGAGAGAUGGGAGCUGAGAGAGAGAUGAGAGUUGAUAGAGAGAUGAGAGCUGAUAGAGAUUGAUGAGAGCUGAGAGAGAGAUGGGAGCUGAGAGAGAAAUGGGAGCUGAGAGAGAGAUGGGAGCUGAGAGAGAGAUGAGAGCUGAUAGAGAUUGAUGAGAGCUGAGAGAUGGGAGCUGAG
ensembl:lncRNA